rnacentral:rRNA from 1 species
UACAGAGGUCUCAAGCGUUGUUCGGAUUCCUUGGGCGUAAAGGGUGCGUAGGCGGCGCGGUAAGUCGGGUGUGAAAUCUUGGAGCUUAACUCCGAAACUGCAUUCGAUACUGCCGUGCUUGAGGACUGGAGAGGAGACUGGAAUUUACGGUGUAGCGGUGAAAUGCGUAGAUAUCGUAAGGAAGACCAGUGGCGAAGGCGGGUCUCUGGACAGUUCCUGACGCUGAGGCACGAAGGCCAGGGGAGCAAACGGG